ACAGUCAUAAUUUACUUGAUUGUUUUCUUACAUGGAUAACCGUGGGAAACUAGGGCUAAUACAUGCGUAAAACCCUCACGGGUUGUAUUUAUUAGUUUCAAAUCAAUACGGGUCUUCCGUAUUAGAGGAACCAUAGUAACUGAUCGAAGCGCAGCAUUUGCGCUAAAUCAUCUAAGUUUCUGCCCCAUCAGCUAGAUGGUAGUGUAUUGGACUACCAUGGCAUUUACGGGUAACGGAGAAUUAGGGUUCGAUUCCGGAGAGGGCGCAUGAGAAAUGGCGACCAUUUCUACGGAAGGCAGCAGGCGCGUAAAUUACCCAAUCCUGACUCAGGGAGGUAGUUAAUGGACAUAACAAUUCCGGCCUUUUAGGUUCUGGAAAGGUAAUGAUUGCAAUUUAAAUCCUUGCAUGAAAUCUAUUGGAGGGCAAGUCUGGUGCCAGCAGCCGCGGUAAUUCCAGCUCCAAUAGCGUAAAUCAUAGUUGCUGCUGUUAAAAAGCUCGUAGUUGAAAUUCCGGCCCGCAAGGGCCUGCCUGAUACGUCUGUCGAUACCGACCGGUUUUGGCAGGAGUUCGGGCGUUUACUGUGACCAAAAUAGGGUGCUUAAAGCAGGCUUUUGCUUGAAUAAUUUAGCAUGGAAUAAUGAAAUACGACUCAGUUCAUUUUAUUGGUUAUUGAAUCGAGUAAUGAUUAACAGAAACAGUUGGGGGCAUUCGUAUUUGGUAGUCAGAGGCAAAAUUCUUAGAUUUAUCAAAGACGAACUAAAGCGAAAGCAUUUGCCAAGAAUGUUUUCAUUAAUCAAGAACGAAAGUUAGGGGAUCAAAGACGAUCAGAUACCGUCGUAGUCCUAACCAUAAACUAUACCGACUAGGGAUUGGUGAGGUAAACCCUCAUCAGCACCUAAUGAGAAAUCAAAGUCUUUGGGUUCAGGGGGGGGUAUGGUCGCAAGGCUGAAACUUAAAGGAAUAGGCGGAAAUGCACCACCAGGAGUGGAUUCUGCGGCUUAAUUUGAUUCAACACGGGAAAACUUACCAAGGCAUAAAAUUGAUAGGAUUGACAGCUUGAUAGCACUUUCUUGAUCCGAUAGCAAGUCGUGCAUGGCCGUUCUUAGUUGGUGGAGUGAUCUGUCAGGUUAAUUCCCUUAACGAACGAGAUCCUGGCCUACUAAAUAGGCGUGGUUAAUACCUAGCCAUGGCCUUCUUAGAGGGACUACUAGCGAUGAGUUAGUGGAAGUUCGGGGCAAUAACAGGUCCGUAAUGCGCUUUGAUGUCUUGGGCGGCACGCGUAAUACACUGAUGCAUGCAAUAGGUUUCCUAACCUGAAAAGGGAUGGGCAAUCUUCUUAAUGUGCAUCGUGAUUGGGAUAGAACAUUGCAAUUAUUGUUCUUGAACGAGGAAUUCCUAGUAAGUGUGAGUCAUCAUCUCACGCUGAUUACGUCCAUGCAUUUUGCACUCACCGCCCGCCACUAUCACUGAUGAGUAGUUUGGCGAGUUCUUCGGAUUAUUCUCCUCCG
rnacentral:rRNA from 1 species